rnacentral:rRNA from 1 species
UACGUAGGGGGCUAGCGUUGUUCGGAAUUACUGGGCGUAAAGCGUGCGUAGGCGGCCAUCCAAGUCAGUGGUGAAAGCCCGGAGCUCGACUCCGGAAUUGCCAUUGAAACUGUUUGGCUCGAGUACGAGAGAGGUGAGUGGAAUUCCCAGUGUAGAGGUGAAAUUCGUAGAUAUUGGGAAGAACACCGGUGGCGAAGGCGGCUCACUGGCUCGUAACUGACGCUCAUGCACGACAGCGUGGGGAUCAAACAGG